rnacentral:rRNA from 1 species
UGGGGAAUUUUCCGCAAUGGGCGAAAGCCUGACGGAGCAACGCCGCGUGAGGGAUGAAGGCCUCUGGGCUGUAAACCUCUUUUCUCAAGGAAGAAGAUCUGACGGUACUUGAUGAAUAAGCCACGGCUAAUUCCGUGCCAGCAGCCGCGGUAAUACGGGAGUGGCAAGCGUUAUCCGGAAUUAUUGGGCGUAAAGCGUCCGCAGGCGGUCUUGUAAGUCUGUCGUCAAAGCGUGGAGCUUAACUCCAUUUCAGCGAUGGAAACUGCGAGGCUAGAGUGUGGUAGGGGCAGAGGGAAUUCCCGGUGUAGCGGUGAAAUGCGUAGAUAUCGGGAAGAACACCAGUGGCGAAGGCGCUCUGCUGGGCCAUAACUGACGCUCAUGGACGAAAGCCAGGGGAGCGAAAGGGAUUAGAUACCCCUGUAGU